ACGCUGGCGGCGUGCCUAAUACAUGUAAGUAGAACGCUGAAGAGAGGAGCUUGCUCUUCUUGGAUGAGUUGCGAACGGGUGAGUAACGCGUAGGUAACCUGCCUUGUAGCGGGGGAUAACUAUUGGAAACGAUAGCUAAUACCGCAUAACAAUGGAUGACCCAUGUCAUUUAUUUGAAAGGGGCAAAUGCUCCACUACAAGAUGGACCUGCGUUGUAUUAGCUAGUAGGUGAGGUAACGGCUCACCUAGGCGACGAUACAUAGCCGACCUGAGAGGGUGAUCGGCCACACUGGGACUGAGACACGGCCCAGACUCCUACGGGAGGCAGCAGUAGGGAAUCUUCGGCAAUGGGGGCAACCCUGACCGAGCAACGCCGCGUGAGUGAAGAAGGUUUUCGGAUCGUAAAGCUCUGUUGUAAGUCAAGAACGAGUGUGAGAGUGGAAAGUUCACACUGUGACGGUAGCUUACCAGAAAGGGACGGCUAACUACGUGCCAGCAGCCGCGGUAAUACGUAGGUCCCGAGCGUUGUCCGGAUUUAUUGGGCGUAAAGCGAGCGCAGGCGGUUUGAUAAGUCUGAAGUUAAAGGCUGUGGCUCAACCAUAGUUCGCUUAGGAAACUGUCAAACUUGAGUGCAGAAGGGGAGAGUGGAAUUCCAUGUGUAGCGGUGAAAUGCGUAGAUAUAUGGAGGAACACCGGUGGCGAAAGCGGCUCUCUGGUCUGUAACUGACGCUGAGGCUCGAAAGCGUGGGGAGCGAACAGGAUUAGAUACCCUGGUAGUCCACGCCGUAAACGAUGAGUGCUAGGUGUUGGAUCCUUUCCGGGAUUCAGUGCCGCAGCUAACGCAUUAAGCACUCCGCCUGGGGAGUACGACCGCAAGGUUGAAACUCAAAGGAAUUGACGGGGGCCCGCAC
rnacentral:rRNA from 1 species